AGUGUGAUUGCUGGGUCAUAUGGUAAUUGCAUAUUUAGUUUUAUAAGAGAUUGCCAAAUUGUUUUCCAGAGUGGCUGUCCCAUUUUGCAUCCCCACCAGCAAU
rnacentral:pre_miRNA from 1 species